rnacentral:rRNA from 1 species
AUACGUAGGGGGCGAGCGUUGUCCGGAAUGAUUGGGCGUAAAGGGCGUGUAGACGGUCAUAUAAGUUACAGGUGAAAGCCCAUUUUUCAAGGAUGGAACUGCCUGUAAGACUGUAAGACUUGAGUGCAGGAGAGGGAAGCGGAAUUCCAAGUGUAGCGGUGAAAUGCGUAGAUAUUUGGAGGAACACCAGUGGCGAAGGCGGCUUUCUGGACUGCAACUGACGUUGAGGCGCGAAAGCGUGGGGAGCGAACAGGAUUAGAUACCCUGGUAGUCCACGCUGUAAACGAUGGAUGCUAGGUGUGGGGGGUAUCGACCCCCUCCGUGCCGGAGUUAACGCAAUAAGCAUCCCGCCUGGGGAGUACGGCCGCAAGGUUGAAACUCAAAUGAAUUGACGGGG